GACACUUUCAUAAAUUGUUAAUCAUCCAACUGUAAGAAAAUACAUCGUUUUAUUUUUUUGGAAAGAGUAGAACUUGAGCCAACGGAGGUUAGCGAAGCCGUGUGUAGAGGUUUGGAAAGAGUAGAACUAGAGCCAAUGGAGAGUAGCGAAGCCGUGUGUAGAGGUUUGGAAAGAGUAGAACUAGAGCCAAUGGAGAGUAGCGAAGCCGUGUGUAGAGGUUUGGAAAGAGUAGAACUAGAGCCAAUGGAGAGUAGCGAAGCCGUGUGUAGAGGUUUGGAAAGAGUAGAACUAGAGCCAAUGGAGAG